AAAGAGGUUUUUUUUAAAACCGCCUACUCAAAAUAUUAAAAAAAA
rfam:Cryptosporidium muris RN66 scf_1106632353999 genomic scaffold, whole genome shotgun sequence.